rnacentral:pre_miRNA from 1 species
UAUAAUAUUUUAACUCUUCAUCUUAUUUGAAAUUCUUUUACGAGUAAUAUUAUAUGAUAAAACAUAAAUAGUAAUUUAUGUGUGACUAAUUUUUUAAGUUUUUAUAUAAAAUUUUUAAAUAAGACGAAUGGUUAAACGUUAGACACGGAAAAAC